UGGGGAAUUUUGCACAAUGGGCGCAAGCCUGAUGCAGCCAUGCCGCGUGUAUGAAGAAGGCCUUUGGGUUGUAAAGUACUUUCAGCGGGGAGGAAGGCGUUAAGGUUAAUAACCUUGGCGAUUGACGUUACCCGCAGAAGAAGCACCGGCUAACUCCGUGCCAGCAGCCGCGGUAAUACGGAGGGUGCAAGCGUUAAUCGGCAUUACUGGGCGUAAAGCGCACGCAGGCGGUCUGUCAAGUCGGAUGUGAAAUCCCCGGGCUCAACGUGGGAACUGCAUUCGAAACUGGCAGGCUAGAGUCUUGUAGAGGGGGUAAGAAUUCCAGGUGUAGCGGUGAAAUACGUAGAGAUCUGGAGGAAUACCGGUGGCGAAGGCGGCCCCCUGGACAAAGACUGACGCUCAGGUGCGAAAGCGUGGGGAGCAAACAGG
rnacentral:rRNA from 1 species